rnacentral:rRNA from 1 species
GAUGAACGCUGGCGGCGUGCCUAAUACAUGCAAGUCGAGCGAACAGACGAGGAGCUUGCUCCUCUGACGUUAGCGGCGGACGGGUGAGUAACACGUGGAUAACCUACCUAUAAGACUGGGAUAACUUCGGGAAACCGGAGCUAAUACCGGAUAAUAUAUUGAACCGCAUGGUUCAAUAGUGAAAGACGGUUUUGCUGUCACUUAUAGAUGGAUCCGCGCCGCAUUAGCUAGUUGGUAAGGUAACGGCUUACCAAGGCAACGAUGCGUAGCCGACCUGAGAGGGUGAUCGGCCCCACUGGAACUGAGCCGCGGUCCAGACUCCUACGGGCGGCAGCAGUAGGGAAUCUUCCGCACUGGGCGAAAGCUUGCCGGAGCAACGCCGCGUGAGUGAUGAAGGUCUUCGGAUCGUAAAACUCUGUUAUUAGGGAAGAACAAAUGUGUAAGUAACUAUGCACGUCUUGACGGUACCUAAUCAGAAAGCCACGGCUAACUACGU